CGGCGGCCCAUGGGCAGCAGACGCUGGUGUCACCACAGUUCGUCAUUGUUCUCCCAACUUUGAACAGUGCUGACAUCUCAGCAUAGGAAUGUGGCAAUCUGCUGGAGUGAUAAACCAAGGUCUCUAGGUUCAAGGAUUCUGUCCCUCUGUCUGUUUGUGACAAGUGUCAAUAACUGAGACGAGAAAUGUCUGAAAAAUGGUGGUCUGGUCUGAAGGUCU